rnacentral:rRNA from 1 species
AGUGAACGCUGGCGGUAGGCCUAACACAUGCAAGUCGAACGGCAGCACAGUAAGAGCUUGCUCUUACGGGUGGCGAGUGGCGGACGGGUGAGGAAUACAUCGGAAUCUACUUUUUCGUGGGGGAUAACGUAGGGAAACUUACGCUAAUACCGCAUACGACCUACGGGUGAAAGCAGGGGAUCUUCGGACCUUGCGCGAUUGAAUGAGCCGAUGUCGGAUUAGCUAGUUGGCGGGGUAAAGGCCCACCAAGGCGACGAUCCGUAGCUGGUCUGAGAGGAUGAUCAGCCACAAUGGAACUGAGACACGGUCCAGAAUCCGACGGGAGGGAGCAGGGGGGAAUAUUGGAAAAUGGGCGCAAGCCUGAUCCAGCCAUACCGGGUGGGGGAAGAAGGCCUUUGGGUUGUAAAGCCCUUUUGUUGGGAAAGAAAAGCAGCAGGUUAAUACCCCGCUGUUUUGACGGUACCCAAAGGAUAAGCACCGGCUAACUUCGUG